rnacentral:rRNA from 1 species
GACGAACGCUGGCGGCGUGCUUAACACAUGCAAGUCGAACGAGAAUCUAAUGACGGAGUUUUCGGACAACUGAUUUAGAGGACAGUGGCGGACUGGUGAGUAACGCGUGAGGAACCUGCCUUUCAGAGGGGGACAACAGUUGGAAACGACUGCUAAUACCGCAUGACGCAUUUUGAUCGCAUGGUCGGAAUGCCAAAGAUUUAUCGCUGAAAGAUGGCCUCGCGUCUGAUUAGAUAGUUGGCGGGGUAACGGCCCACCAAGUCGACGAUCAGUAGCCGGACUGAGAGGUUGACCGGCCACAUUGGGACUGAGAUACGGCCCAGACUCCUACGGGAGGCAGCAGUGGGGAAUAUUGGGCAAUGGGCGCAAGCCUGACCCAGCAACGCCGCGUGAAGGAAGAAGGCUUUCGGGUUGUAAACUUCUUUUAAGUGGUAAGAGCAGAAGACGGUACCACUUGAAUAAGCCACGGCUAACUACGUGCCAGCAGCCGCGGU